rnacentral:rRNA from 1 species
UGCAAGUCGAGCGGUAACAUUUCUAGCUUGCUAGAAGAUGACGAGCGGCGGACGGGUGAGUAAUGCUUGGGAACUUGCCUUUGCGAGGGGGAUAACCACUGGAAACGGUGGCUAAUACCGCAUAAUGUCUACGGACCAAAGGGGGCUUAGGCUCUCGCGCAAAGAGAGGCCCAAGUGAGAUUAGCUAGUUGGUGGGGUAAAGGCUCACCAAGGCAACGAUCUCUAGCUGUUCUGAGAGGAAGAUCAGCCACACUGGGACUGAGACACGGCCCAGACUCCUACGGGAGGCAGCAGUGGGGAAUAUUGGACAAUGGGCGCAAGCCUGAUCCAGCCAUGCCGCGUGUGUGAAGAAGGCCUUCGGGUUGUAAAGCACUUUCAGUGGGGAGGAAGGCCAAGUAGUUAAUACCUGCUUGGAUUGACGU